rnacentral:rRNA from 1 species
CGACAAGCGGUGGAGCAUGUGGUUUAAUUCGAUGCAACGCGAAGACCUUACCUGGGCUUGACAUCCCGAGAAUCCCCUGGAAACAGGGGAGUGCCUUUCGGGAACUCGGAGACAGGUGCUGCAUGGCUGUCGUCAGCUCGUGUCGUGAGAUGUUGGGUUAAGUCCCGCAACGAGCGCAACCCUUGUCUUUAAUUGCCAGCAUUCAGUUGGGCACUUUAAAGAGACUGCCGGUGUUAAGCCGGAGGAAGGUGGGAUGACGUCAAGUCCUCAUGGCCUUUAUGCCCAGGGCUACACACGUGCUACAAUGGGUGGUACAAAGAGAUGCCAACUCGCGAGAGCGCGCCAAUCUCAGAAAGCCAUCCUCAGUUCGGAUUGGAGUCUGCAACUCGACUCCAUGAAGUUGGAAUCGCUAGUAAUCGCGGAUCAGCACGCCGCGGUGAAUACGUUCCCGGGCCUU